rnacentral:miRNA from 1 species
UGGUGAUGAUAAUGAUGAUGAUGAUGAUAUCAUCAUCAUCAUCAUCUGAC